UACGUAGGGGGGCUAGCGUUGUCCGGAAUCAUUGGGCGUAAAGCGCGUGUAGGCGGUCCGGUAAGUCCGCUGUGAAAGUCGGGGGCUCAACCCUGGAAUGCCGGUGGAUACUGUCGGGCUAGAGUCCGGAAGGGGCGAGUGGAAUUCCUGGUGUAGCGGUGAAAUGCGCAGAUAUCAGGAGGAACACCAAUGGCGAAGGCAGCUCGCUGGGACGUGACUGACGCUGAGACGCGAAAGCGUGGGGAGCAAACAGG
rnacentral:rRNA from 1 species